rnacentral:miRNA from 1 species
UCAAAUUUACACGCCUCACGGGCCCUCGCCCUCUCUCUCUCUCUCUCUCUCUCUGUUUUUUCGCUCUCUGAGUUGGAAUUGAUUUAAUGCAGGCAUAACAGUAAAAACAAACACAAUAAAAGAGGGGGGGGGGGGGGUUUGGGAGAUUAAGAGUAAAGGGAGAGUGAGAGUGAGAGUGGGUCCGUGUGAGCAUUAAAAAUG